UCAGACACCAACCGGGGAGCCCCGCGCUUAACACAUGCAAGUCGAACGCCUUUUUUAUGGGUUCGGAAAGCGAGUAGAGUGGCGCACGGGUGAGUAACGCGUAAGUAAUCUGCCCUGGUAUCCGGGAUAACCCACCGAAAGGUGUGCUAAUACCGGAUACGCUGAGCAAUCAGGAAAGGUGGCCUCUUCAUGAAAGCUACUGUACCAGGAGGAGCUUGCGUACCAUUAGCUAGUUGGUAGGGUAAUGGCCUACCAAGGCAACGAUGGUUAGCGGGUCUGAGAGGAUGAUCCGCCACACUGGAACUGAAACACGGACCAGACUCCUACGGGAGGCAGCAGUGAGGAAUAUUGCGUAAUGGGGGAAACCCUGACGCAGCGACGCCGCGUGGAUGAUGAAGGCCUUCGGGUCGUAAAAUCCUGUCAGAUGGAAAGAAAUGUACAUGUGCUAAUAUCACUUGUAUUUGACGGUACCAUCAAAGGAAGCACCGGCUAACUCCGUGCCAGCAGCCGCGGUAAUACGGAGGGUGCAAGCGUUGUUCGGAAUUACUGGGCGUAAAGCGCGCGUAGGCGGUUUGUUAAGUCAGAUGUGAAAGUCCACGGCUCAACCGUGGAAGUGCAUUUGAAACUGGCAGGCUUGAGUACUGGAGGGGGUGGUGGAAUUCCCGGUGUAGUGGUGGAAUGCGUAGAUAUCGGGAGGAACACCAGUGGCGAAAGCGGCGCCCUAGCAUUGGCCUGACGCUCAUGUGCGAAAGCGUGGGGAGCGAACGGGAAUUAGAUACCCCGGUAGUCCACGCUGUAAACGAUGAGCACUAGGUGUAGGCGGUGUCAAAGCUGUUUGUGCCGAAACAAACGCGAUAAGUGCUCCGCCUGGGGAGUACGGCCGCAAGGCUAAAAUUCAANGAAUUG
rnacentral:rRNA from 1 species